rnacentral:tRNA from 1 species
GCGGAUUGUCCUUGGUACACGGA